rnacentral:lncRNA from 1 species
GGAUCUCGGAGUUCAAUCAACAAUAAAUAUCAUUUAAUCAAAGAUUCCAAGGCAAAAAUGCAAGAAACAUAAACCGAAAAUACAACCCAUUAAUGGCCGAAAAUCUGGACAACAACUUCUCUUGUUUAUGGUUGAUUUUCAGGCUCAGGAAUAGCUCCCAUGUCAUGCAAAUCACCUUCCAAAGAGAGAGCUAGAAAACCGGCAAAGAACCUCCUUUGAAACUGCCACCACCGCACCCCUCUCUUCUACCAAGUUUUGAGAAACAUCACCUAUACUUAGCCACUAUUUCAGGCCUAAGUUAUCACAAGGGACACUCAAGAAGAAGCUCACAAGAAGGCACUCUCA